AGAUUGUCACACACUAUCAGGUCAUUUGUCUUACAGUGGAGCCUCACUCCUUACUCCUCAGGGCCUCAGGAAAUCUGCCAUGCAUCCAGAGUUUUCCAGAGGCAGACUUUACUGUGUUUCUACUGUGAAGUGAAGGGGAUUGGUAUGCUGAUAUCACCAAGGACUGAGGAUGAGGCUGCAUUGGGGGUGGGGCGUGGGGGUGGGAGACAGAGAGAUUCACAGGAACUGAUAAGCCCACACUAAUUUGUAUUUGCUUCCUCAUCCCCAGAUUGCCAUAAGACAGACCACAAAGAGAAUCCCAUAAGCUAGCAAACAGCACAAACAUAAACUCUGUCAGUGAAUUGAAAGGCAGCACCUUAGAGAAAUCUCAAGAGUAACUGUUUUCAUGAGAACAUUAACUUGGUGCACGCACUGUCAAGGGUGUUCGUUUAUGAAGCCUUACCAUAACAGACUCAGACACUGUGAAGCAGAAGAAGCCAGAAGAGAGAGCAGGACCCUCCAAAUUCUGGAUUUCAAAAUAUUCAUCUAGAAGAGAUGGAAAGCCUGGUCCUUAAAAGGAGUGCAUAGUUCUUCAAUAAUAAAACAGCCAACAUUUUUCUCCUUUUAAAUUUGCUCCUGGAUUUGUAAUUUAAGAAGUUCCCUCAACUUCUGAACCUGUAUGUCAGGCAGUUGUGGAGUCCUACAGACUGGAAAGGCUUGGGGAGAGAUGCAUGCUGUGAUGAGAAAUACCGGAGCACGAAUUAGAAGCAACGAUGGUUAUCAGCCUCAUAGAGGCGGAUGGGCUUCCUCCCAUCCCGCCCUGGAACACAUGGAAUGCCAGGGAAUGGUUGGCUGGGGAACUCUUCCACAGUGUCACAAGCACUGGAAAAGAGAAUGCAAGAGACUGAUGAGCAAAUCCUGGAGCAAAGCAAUCUGCUACCUCCUGCCUCUCAGAGAGGGAUGCCUGGCCUGGUGUGGUAAGUCCCAGGGCUUGAGAGGAGGUAAAGAGAACAGGAUGUGAGGAGGCCAGGGCAGAAGGGCAAAGAGAGACUUAGAGGAGCAUCACAGUCAUUCCAUUAGCAGAAUAUUCUCUUGAACUCAGCCCAGCUUCCAUGUUGCUGAAAAGUCAUCAUUUUCUACAAAGAUUGGUAUAAAACAUACAGAAAAGAGUAAGAAAAAUGGAAAAAGAAACGAGGAGAGACAGUAGCUUGAAAAUUGUGAGUCUGAUUCCUGCUUUUGCCAGAUGGAGUAAAACAUUUAAAAUCAUGAGCAGGUAUUUUGAAAUUGGCCAUUCAGACUUCUUACAGACAGGCCUGGUCCACAGUCCGGUCAGUGGGAGGUAUACACGGACUAAUAGCACUUAGGGACAAUGGCCUUUCAAUGGCCAUCAGGUACCAGAGCUUCUAAAUUGGCCAAUUUCAUGUGUCAGAAGGGCAAAAGAUACACAAUCACAUAAAAAAGACACUUUAAUCCAGUCAUUAUAAAGGAGGGACAGAACAGAGUGGUGGCUGUGUGUUUAUGGGUGUAUCUGUAAUUUCAAAGAGGUUCAU